GCCUGGGUGGCUCAGUCGGUUGAGCGUUUGACUUCAGCUCAGGCCAUGAUCUCACAAUUUGUGGGUUCAAACCCCAAGUUGGGCU
rnacentral:tRNA from 1 species